rnacentral:rRNA from 1 species
CCUACGGGGGGCAGCAGUGGGGAAUCUUCCGCAAUGGGCGCAAGCCUGACGGAGCAACGCCGCGUGAGCGAAGAAGGCCUUCGGGUUGUAAAGCUCUGUCCAGGGGGAAGAAGCGAGUGACGGUACCCCUGGAGGAAGCCCCGGCUAACUACGUGCCAGCAGCCGCGGUAAAACGUAGGGGGCGAGCGUUGUCCGGAAUUACUGGGCGUAAAGGGCGUGUAGGCGGCAAUGCAAGUCAGUCGUGAAACCCGCCGGCUCAACCGGCGGCUGGCGAUUGAAACUGCAUAGCUUGAGGGCAGGAGAGGGAAGUGGAAUUCCCAGUGUAGCGGUGAAAUGCGUAGAUAUUGGGAGGAACACCAGUGGCGAAAGCGGCUUCCUGGCCUGUAACUGACGCUGAGGCGCGAAAGCGUGGGGAGCAAACAGGAUUAGAUACCCUGGUAGUCA